rnacentral:tRNA from 1 species
UCCAUAAUGGCUUCGUGGUAAAGAAUUUGCCUGCCAAGGCAGGAGACCCAGGUUCAAUUCCUGGUCCAGGAA